GGAUAGCCUGACCAGGCCAACAUUAGAGAUUAGAAAAGGACAUGAAUGUCUGGAUGAAAGCAGUCAAGUCACAUCUAUAAAACAAGUGUGGAUGCUGCAAGACCACACACAAGCCUUAAAGUCUCCAGCCUGUAUUUCCAUGUGUAAUCUGCUUUGCUGGUGUCCACUAUCGGGGCCAAGGGCAGGCUGCCCCAAAAUGUGCCCCUCUGGCAUAUAAUUUCAAAUAAAAGCUACUUAAUAGCCAGUGCAAGGUCACUCAGACCCUCCUCUGUCCUCCUAAAAGCAGGAAACAAAUGUCCCAUGUGAGAAAUACCCUCCCUGUGCUAAAAAAAAAUAAAUAAAUAAAAAUAAAAGCCAUCUUUACCACCUGAGAUAAGGACUUUAGAGCCAAGAAAGAUAAACAAGGGAUCCCUGGGUGGCGCAGCGGUUUGGCGCCUGCCUUUGGCCCAGGGCGCGAUCCUGGAGACCCGGGAUCGAAUCCCACAUCGGGCUCCCGGUGCAUGGAGCCUGCUUCUCCCUCCUCUGCCUGUGUCUCUGCCUCUCUCUCUCUCUCUGUGUGUGACUAUCAUAAAAUAAAAAUAAAAUUAAAAAAAAAAGAAAGAUAAACAAACCUUGCUGUUUUCUAAUCCACUCCCUCAGCCUAAAUUCUGCUUAGAAUCCACUAAUUAAAGCCCCCAAACACCUGUUUUCUUUACCCUGUCGAUUCCUCACAAACAUACUGUCUCCUUGUCCCAAAAAUGCAUAAAAACUGCCUGCCUGCCUUGGUCAUUUCUUUAGGUCUCUACUCUAAUGCUGGGCCUCUGCACGCGGGUAGUAAAACUUGGGUUUCUCCUCCCGUUAAUCUAUUUUAUGUGAAUUCGGUCCAGCUGUCAGCCCUUCGAGGGUGAAGGAAGGUUUUCCUUUUCCUCCCCCGCAGCGCUGAUCACGCCACAAGGUGACCUGCUAGCGGCCCUCCUGGAGAACUUGCUCUCACGAUCAAAAUCACGGAAAACGGCUCAUUCCCGGUCCCUGCAGGCACCGGGCAAGGGAGUCGCUUCGGCAGAAGCCGCGCGGGGCGCGGGUGUAUACGUGAGCAGACACAGGGAGAAGAUGGCCACCAGCAAGCAUCGGAGAGACGACUUGGAAGAAACCAACUCUGCGCACACCUUGACCUUGAAUUCGCAGUCUCCAGAAUUGUGAGAGUAGAAAUUUCUGUUGGGUGCCCACGGUUGGUCUUGGCAGAUUUCCGGACACAAUAUUCUGCUGGCUACAGACAGUGCUUUGCACACCUGAUCUUCUCCCCAUAAUUAAAAAGCAUCAUCAGAGGCAGAGACACAGGCAGAAAGAGAAGCAGAGAGAGAAGCAGGCUCCAUGCCGGGAGCCCGACGUGGGACUCGAUCCCGGGACUCCAGGCUGCAGGCGGCGCUAAACCGCUGCACCACCAGGGCUGCCCCUAAAAUUUACCAUCUUAAUCACUUUUAAGUGUGCAGUUUCUGUGCCUUUCUGAAUUUUCCUACCUGUUCUAUCAUGCCCUUUGCCAUUUCAUACAAGUUAUUAUGUAAAAUUUACGUAGUAAUAUUUAAAUGAAAUAAAACAUAUAAGGAUUAUAACGACAAA